rnacentral:rRNA from 1 species
UAGGGAAUCUUCCGCAAUGGGCGAAAGCCUGACGGAGCAACGCCGCGUGAGUGAUGAAGGUCUUCGGAUCGUAAAACUCUGUUAUUAGGGAAGAACAAAUGUGUAAGUAACUAUGCACGUCUUGACGGUACCUAAUCAGAAAGCCACGGCUAACUACGUGCCAGCAGCCGCGGUAAUUCGUAGGUGGCAAGCGUUAUCCGGAAUUAUUGGGCGUAAAGCGCGCGUAGGCGGUUUUUUAAGUCUGAUGUGAAAGCCCACGGCUCAACCGUGGAGGGUCAUUGGAAACUGGAAAACUUGAGUGCAGAAGAGGAAAGUGGAAUUCCAUGUGUAGCGGUGAAAUGCGCAGAGAUAUGGAGGAACACCAGUGGCGAAGGCGACUUUCUGGUCUGUAACUGACGCUGAUGUGCGAAAGCGUGGGGAUCAAACAGG